UGUUGAUUCUCCUGCAUCAGUCGGUCUAUAAAGGAUGAUGGGAGUGUGUGUUGUAUGCGACUAGAGAUAGAGAGAUAAAGAAUUAAAGAGAGAAACACCAUGGAUGUUUCCAUUGUAUGGAUGUAUUAAUGGAGGAUCCAACAUUAUCGUUUCCCACAUCCUCAGGUAGGUCAAGUAUCAGGUGGUUCAAUGGAGAUGUAGCCACAACUUUCUAGGUUCGAGUUUCAGCUCGUGGUGUCAAUGGUGUAUCUAAUCAAUCUCGAUUCCUGGCAUCAGUUUAUGUGUUCAAAAACAGAGUGCUGGUAGGAACAUUCAAAAUGGGUUGAGUUCCGGUGGUGAUUAAGGUAGCCUUUAGUCAAUGGAUGUGCUCAUGGUCGGCGCCAGGUCCAUGUUGGUACUGCUACACCGUCAUUGGGAGGUUGGGCUGUUGGUGGAGAUGCGUCGUUGGGAAGUAACGACCUGCAACAGCAACGUGAUUCUAGAAGGGAAAACAUGUGUGAGGUCAUGGUCGCUGGAAAUAAGGAUGAGACGGAGAUGAACUCCGCUUGCUGUUUUGAUAUUCCCCGGCAAAUCUUGGUCUUCUUCUAAACUUUUGAUGAGACAGAGAAAAGAGAUAUGGAGAACGAAAAAGAUUAUAAGGUGUGAGUUAAAUUUGUAUAAGACGAAGCUGCGAUCGGUGUGUGGAAAACCUUGGGUGUGGCUGUUACCGGUCUCAAGUAAUAGAAGGAUGGUUUGUUUGGGUGUUAGCUGUCGGACACCAGAAGCUAGGAGUCACCAGAGAUGGAAGCUUCACCGGAUAAGAAGACUUCGUCGGAGAGGUGGCGUCGCCGGCAACAUUAGACUGGAAGCUGAUGUACGACCAGAUGUAUGAGAUUGAGGUGUCUAAGGAGUUGGAGAUUCCUCUCAGCCACUUCGAUAGUCUUAGUAUAUGUUUCGCUUCUUCAGGUACAUCAGGGGAUCGCGGCAAGGCAAAUGUGUGAUCGUACAGCUCCUCCUAUUAUGUUUAUGUUUUUGGGAAAAACUCUGAUAAUUAAUAUUUUGAAAACAAAGUUGUAAUGUUUUGAUGAACUUGACAUGUUUUAUAAAGUUUAAAUUGGUUUGAUA